rnacentral:rRNA from 1 species
UACAGAGGGGGCAAGCGUUGUUCGGAAUUACUGGGCGUAAAGGGCGCGUAGGCGGCCUGCUAAGUCGAACGUGAAAUCCCCGGGCUCAACCCGGGAACUGCGUCCGAUACUGGCAGGCUUGAAUCCGGGAGAGGGAUGCGGAAUUCCAGGUGUAGCGGUGAAAUGCGCAGAUAUCAGGAGGAACACCCGUGGCGAAAGCGGCUCUCUGGAACGGUACUGACGCUGAGACGCGAAAGCGUGGGGAGCAAACAGG